GCCCUGGUGGUCCAGUGGUUAAGACUUUGUAUUUCCAGUGCAAGGGGCCACAGGUUUGAUCCCUGAUCAGGGAA
rnacentral:tRNA from 1 species